AUGAGUCUACACUGCCAUAUAAUCCAGUUCAAAGCAGAAAAUCUGGGAUUUUAUACAGCUGUGUGGAAAGGGGCCAUAGUUUUCAUUCUGCUCUCACAAACAGCUUUUGUCAUCCAAUGUUUUAGUCACAAAAAGUUUUCACUAGAUCUUUCUGGCAGAGUACUGGCAAGAGUCCAGGUUUUCUCAAACAUAUUUUUCCACUUUCUACAUACCAGGGGCAAGAAUUAUGUGGCCCUCCAUAUGACAUUGAACUGCAUUUCUCAAUAUUCCUCAUCCUUUUUGUUGACAAUGCUGGUUAGAGUUGCUGUGAUUUACAGACCAGUAAUGCUCAGGCAGCUUCGCUCCCAUAUUCUGGAGUGGCUCCCCCUACCUAUCACUAAGGAGCCUCACAUAGCUGGCCUAAACCCUGUUCUUUUACAGGGGUGGUGUCCAGAUACUCAUCCCUGCUGAUCUAGGAUCCCCCUCCCUGCCCUCCAUUUCCCCCUACUUUUACAAGACUGCAACAAAGCCUGAAGCCUCCCUCCCCUGGAAGAGAGCUUUGAAUCAGGAAAGGAUCUUCUGUUAGAGUAAGAGAGGCAAAGGCUGCAGGCCUGCAUAGGAGGCUUCCUCCAGUAAAUUGAGAGGGCAAUGGGGUGCAGGAGGGAGUCCAGAUAGGGGGGAGGGAAGGAAAACACACGUCUUCCAUGCUUACAGGUUUACACAGACAUAGAAUGGAUUCUCAGGAGGACCCGGGUUUAAAGGGCUACUUCUAAACAUGUGUUUUUCAGCCUUUAACCCGAUUUUUCCUGAUCAAUAUUUCUACUGAGUUCCUUCUAACUUUUAUAUUCAUAGUAUUUUCUAUUUUCCUUAUAACCUUUUCCCAAAAAUCUUGUACAUAUUUACAAUCCCACCAUAUAUACAUAUAGGUUCCAGUUUCCUGGCACUCUCUCCAACAUUUUUCAUUAUUGCUCCUAUUUUCCUUACCUGGACUUUUUUUUACCUGGAAUAAACCUGGAUAACCAUGUUUAUAUGGGUGCCCCAGACUAAUCUGUUUC
rnacentral:lncRNA from 1 species